rnacentral:rRNA from 1 species
UACAGAGGGUGCGAGCGUUAAUCGGAAUUACUGGGCGUAAAGCGUGCGUAGACGGUUACAUAAGUCGGGUGUGAAAGCCCCGGGCUCAACCUGGGAAUUGCAUUCGAGACUGCGUAGCUAGGGUGCGGAAGAGGGAAGCGGAAUUUCCGGUGUAGCGGUCGAAAUGCGUAGAUAUCGGAAGGAACACCAGUGGCGAAAGCGG